rnacentral:rRNA from 1 species
AACGAACGCUGGCGGCAGGCCUAACACAUGCAAGUCGAGCGAGACCUUCGGGUCUAGCGGCGGACGGGUGAGUAACGCGUGGGAACGUGCCCUUUUCUGCGGAAUAGCCUCGGGAAACUGAGCGUAAUACCGCAUACGCCCUUUGGGGGAAAGAUUUAUCGGAAAAGGAUCGGCCCGCGUUGGAUUAGGUAGUUGGUGGGGUAAUGGCCUUCCAAGCCUACGAUCCAUAGCUGGUUUGAGAGGAUGAUCAGCCACACUGGGACUGAGACACGGCCCAGACUCCUACGGGAGGCAGCAGUGGGGAAUCUUAGACAAUGGGGGCAACCCUGAUCUAGCCAUGCCGCGUGAGUGAUGAAGGCCUUAGGGUUGUAAAGCUCUUUCAGCUGGGAAGAUAAUGACGGUACCAGCAGAAGAAGCCCCGGCUAGCUCCGUG